GCCUGGCUGGCUCAGUCGGUAGAGUAUGCGACUCUUAAUCUCAGGGUCAUGAGUUUGAUCCCCAAUGUUGGGCC
rnacentral:tRNA from 1 species